rnacentral:rRNA from 1 species
AAGUUCCAUUAAGGGCGCAUGGUGGAUGCCUUGACUGAAUGGAGCGAUGAAAGACGUGGUCUGGCUGCGAUAAGUUUCGGGGAGGUGCCAAACAACCUUCGAUCCGAAAAUUUCUGAAUGGGGGAACCCMMUYGANUAWYWCWYKAUKRYUMUSUWCNKGAUACWSRRKRCAUACCCGGGGAAUUGAAACAUCUUAGUACCCGGAGGAAUAGAAACCAAUAGGUAUUUCCUGAGUAGCGGCGAGCGAAACGGAAGAAGCCCAAACCUCUGCGCUUGCGUAGGGGGGUUGUAAGAUACUAGUGCUGCAUUUAUGUAGGAAGAGUUACAAAAUAUGUUGUUAAAAGAACAACCUGGGAAGGUUGACCCUAGAGGGUAAUAGUCCCGUAUUUGAAAACAAUCAUAUCUCUUUAGCUAGUACUCUUGAGUAGCUCGGGACACGAAUAGCCCGAGUGAAUCUGCCGGAACUAACCGGUAAGGCUAAAUAUACAUUCAGAUCGAUAGUGAACAAGUACCGUGAGGGAAAGGUGAAAAGAACCCCGUUUAGGGGAGUGAAAUAGAACUGAAACCAUGUGUCUACAAGGAGUCGAAGAGGUCUUGAACCUCGACGGCGUGCCUAUUGAAGAAUGAGCCAACGAGUUUAUAUAUAUGGCUGACUAAGCCCUUGUCGGGUGGAGUCCCAGCGAAAGCGAGUGUGAAUAGCGCGAAUUAUAGUCGUAUGUAUAAGACCCGAAAUCAGGUGAGCUUACCAUGAGCAGGGUGAAGGAGGUCGAAAGACUUCUGGAGGCCCGAACCGCUGCGUCGCACAACGCGCUCGGAUGACUUGUGGUAAGGAGUGAAAAGCUAAUCGAACCUGGUAAUAGCUGGUUCUCUCCGAAACAGCUUUAGGGUUGGCGUCGUGUGUUCCCUCUGGGGGUAGAGCACUGGCAGGUGUGAACAGGAUGAAAAUCCGUCACUCCUAUCAAACUCCGAAUACCAGAGAUCAAAAACACGGCAGUUAGAGUCAGGGGGCGAAGCUCCUGUGCUCGAAAGGGAAACAGCCCAGAUCGCAGUUUAAGGUCCCAAAAUUGAUACUAAGUACAAACGAGGAGGUGAGGUUUCUUCGACAGUGAGGAGGUUGGCUUAGAAGCAGCCACCCUUUAAAGAUAGCGUAACAGCUCACUCACUCAGAGACCUUGCGCCGAAGAUGAUCGGGGUUAAGUAUCAUACCGAAAACGCGGGCUUGUGAAUUUCAUUGGAGAAACAACUUCGGUUGUUUUUCCAGUGAAGUUCAUGAGCGGUAGGAGAGCGUUCCAUUCGCGAUGAAGCCAAAGGGGUGACCCAUGGUGGAGCAUAUGGAAGUGAGAAUGUUGGCACGAGUAACCGCAUUGUGGGUGAGAUUCCCACACGCCGAAAUACCGAGGUUUCCUGGGCUAUGAAGAUCAGCUCAGGGUUAGUCGGGCCUAAGCCGAUCCCGAACGGGGGAGGCGAUGGACAUACGGUUAAUAUUCCGUAACCUGCGCAUAAUGCGAUGGAGUGACGGGGGAAAUAAGUACAAGCAUCUUAUUGGAUUGAUGUUUUUUACUCCAAGGGAGGAUACAUAGGAAAAUCCGUGUAUCACAUACUUCCGAGAGUCGAAUAAAUUUCUAGGUUCGCCUAGAGAGAUUUGUGCGAAGAGCCCUCCGAGAAAAGCUUCUAAGCUUAAUUAUGCGUGGACCGUACCGCAAACCAACACAGGUGGUAGAGUCGAGAAGACUAAGGCGAACGGGUGAAAGUUCCUCAAGGAACUCGGCAAAACAGCGACCGUAACUUAGGGAUAAGGUCUGCCCUCAUACCUUCGGGUAUCAGAGGGCCGCAGCGAAAGAGUCCUGGCGACUGUUUAUCAAAAACACAGCUCCGUGCGAACUCGUAAGAGGAUGUAUACGGGGUGACGCCUGACCAAUGCCGGAAGGUUAAACAUGGAUGGUGUAUGAAGUUUACUUUGUAUGCUGGGCUAUGUAAGCCCCGGUGAAUGUCGGCCGUAACUAKAMYSGWMYKRMRRWMGYKKRMKYMYUYRKSKMRKMRWYSUWRWSGYSCAYGAAWGGCGUMACGACUNGGGANRCUGUCUCSAGGARCUGCCCGGUGAAAAUGCAAUUCCGGUAAAGAUGCCGGAUACCUGCAGCAGGACGGAAAGACCCCAGGAGCUUUACUACAGCUUGAUAUUGGGGGCGUGUGAAUAAUGCGUAGAAUAGAUGGGAGGCUUUGAAGCGAUUCUUUUGGGAGUCGUGGAGCCGUCAGUGAAAUACCAUCCUUUGUUUAUGCGUCUCCUAACCAGCAUGGCAAAACCAUGUCGAGACAGUAUCUGGCAGGUAGUUUUAGUGGGGCGCUAUCCUUAACUUUGCGCCCACACCGUCUUAUCCACGGUAAAAUAUAAAUGGGGACUCCCGUAGGCAACUAUGGGAUAAACACUUGGCUAUAUGCUGGAACACCCGAGUAUCUUUAAGUACUCGCUUACUCUGUAAGCAGUGAAAAUCUUAAAGUGCGGACAAUCAGCAGGAAACCGACUAUAUGUUGGGAUCCUCAGAGACUACACGCUAAGCAUCCUUAACGGGAUGAAGAUAUAGUCCGAUCUCUAUGGCGACAUAGAGAGUGUGGCAGAAAUGACCACACCGGUACAUGAUAUGUGUACUAGUAACAAGAAUGCCUAAAAAGUAACGGAGGAGUUUAAAGGUUCUCUAGACGCGGAUGGAAACCGUGUCGAUAGUGUAAUGGCAAAAGAGAGCUUGAUUGCGAGACGUACAUGUCAAGCAGGCGCGAAAGCGGAACAUAGUGAACCGAUAGUUUGCUUUAGAUGCAGCUAGAGAUUAACGGAUAAAAGUUACCCUGGGGAUAACAGGCUGGUACCGCCUAAGAGUCCAUAUCGCCGGCGGUGUUCGGCACCUCGAUGUCGGCUCACCUUAUCCUGGGGCUGAAGAAGGUCCCAAGGGUUUGGCUGUUCGCCAAUUAAAAAGGUACGCGAGCUGGGUUCAGACCGUUGAGAAAUUGUUUUAUUACGAUUUCUCAACAGUCUGAAUCCCGAGGCUACGUAUUAGAGACGUAAAAGACAUUAAUUCACGGCGGCACAAAAUAGUAAUAUUUUGCUGCUUAAGUUAGCUAUAUCGGUGAAACCUAUAACAAAGUAUAGGCAAUACCGAGGGAAGUCGUAAUUGACCCCGUAGAGACUAGACGCUAACCAUCCUACAUUUGAGGAUGAAGAUAUAGUCCAAGUGUAUGACCACAACAUAGCGUGAGACAGGUUGGUCGUAAUCCGCUGCAGGCGUCGAUUUUUGAGAAGAUUUGUUCCUAGUACGAGAGGACCGGAAUGAACUGACCUCUGGUCUAUCGGCUGUUUCACCAGAAGCACUGCCGAGUAGCUAUGUCGGGAAUGGAUAACCGCUGAAAGCAUCUAAGCGGGAAGCCAACUUCAAGAUAAGAAAUCAUUUGAGAUCCGUAGGAGACUACUACGUUGAUAGGCACUAGGUGUACGUACAGCGAUGUACUUAGCCGAGGUGUACUAAUUCAUCGAGGAGUU